rnacentral:ncRNA from 1 species
GAGCGCCGUGUGCGGGGAAACUCGCAAGCACGGUGUGGGGUGGGGGAAAACCUGGAGAUCAUAUCAAAGGGUUACCUAUCACCAU